rnacentral:rRNA from 1 species
CCUACGGGAGGCAGCAGUGGGGAAUUUUGGACAAUGGGCGCAAGCCUGAUCCAGCAAUGCCGCGUGCAGGAUGAAGGCCUUCGGGUUGUAAACUGCUUUUGUACGGAACGAAACGGUCUGCCCUAAUACGGUGGGCUAAUGACGGUACCGUAAGAAUAAGCACCGGCUAACUACGUGCCAGCAGCCGCGGUAAUACGUAGGGUGCGAGCGUUAAUCGGAAUUACUGGGCGUAAAGCGUGCGCAGGCGGUUAUGUAAGACAGAUGUGAAAUCCCCGGGCUCAACCUGGGACCUGCAUUUGUGACUGCAUAGCUAGAGUACGGUAGAGGGGGAUGGAAUUCCGCGUGUAGCAGUGAAAUGCGUAGAUAUGCGGAGGAACACCGAUGGCGAAGGCAAUCCCCUGGACCUGUACUGACGCUCAUGCACGAAAGCGUGGGGAGGCAAACAGGAUUAGAUACCCUGGUAGUCCACGCCCUAAACGAUGUCAACUGGUUGUUGGGUCUUCACUGACUCAGUAACGAAGCUAACGCGUGAAGUUGACCGCCUGGGGAGUACGGCCGCAAGGUUGAAACUCAAAUGAAUUGAGG